rnacentral:lncRNA from 1 species
AGAGAAUGGCAGUUGCAACCCUUGUGUGUGUGUGAGAGAGAGAGAGAGACUGUCUCUGUAUCUCAAAGCAUAUUUUUAUGAGGUUCUGGAAAGAAGCUGGUCUGGGAUAAUUGUUGCUGGAGACACUGAGAGGCACUGAAAGCACCAGCAGGCAUUUUUUGACUAAACCCAAGAAAUUCGUAAAAUGUAAGACACAGUGUGAAAGGAGGGGGGAAAAAAAAGAGAAGAAAAGAAAAAAGAAAGCCCACUAACUUCCCCCAAACCCAAACUCUGCAGUUGUGAAGCCAAAGGAGCCCUCUGAAGACAGACAGUAAAGUCGACUCCCUGCAACGGAGAGUUCUUGCAAUAAGAGAACACACAAUUUUUCCUAAUUUCAUUUAUGCAAGCGAGAAUUGGGAAUGCCAGCACAGAGUCACAGAGAAGUGUGAAGGAAAGAAGCCUUUGCAUAAGACUUGCUCUUUAUCUUCUCUCAGACUGGAGAGGAGUACAUGCCUGUCUGAUCCAGCAGAAGCUGCUCUCUCCAGCGAACUGGAAGAAAUAUGGCUAAAUCAGAAUUCAGCUGAAAAACAGGACUUCCUGUAGCUACUGCAACACUGAUUUUUGUAUUGUUGGGAAGACCUAAGAUGCUGUUUUGUUUUGGUGCUGCAUUGUUUCGUGUAAGAUGAACCAGACAACUGUUUCUUUGCUACCUCUGCUCAGACUUUUCUUACCUCUUCCUACAAGGUGCCAAAUUAACUCACAAUUAACAAAAAUUGUGAAUUUUCAGAUAUAAGCUGCUCCAGGUGAUGGCCUAUUUUUGGCAGAAAUCCUUCUUUUUUCUUGACUAGGUGAUGAAGUUCCUAAUAUCAUAACUUCAGCAAAUGCCCUCAGUCAAAUAGUCUGGGGGUUGUGGGGGAACCCCUUUUUUACUUUGGGAUAUUUUAGCUGUUUAUGUGAAGUGUAGUCCAGAAUACCAAAAAUCAGAGCCCAAGUUCCCAUAUGUAGAGACCAUGGUGUAGGGAUUGGGCAAUCAUGCAU